rnacentral:rRNA from 1 species
AUUGAACGCUGGCGGAAUGCUUUACACAUGCAAGUCGAACGGCAGCACGGACUUCGGUCUGGUGGCGAGUGGCGAACGGGUGAGUAAUGUAUCGGAACGUGCCCAGUCGUGGGGGAUAACGUAGUGAAAAUUACGCUAAUACCGCAUACGAUCUAUGGAUGAAAGCGGGGGAUCGCAAGACCUCGCGCGAUUGGAGCGGCCGAUAUCAGAUUAGGUAGUGGGUGGGGUAAAGGCCCACCAAGCCAACGAUCUGUAGCUGGUCUGAGAGGACGACCAGCCACACUGGAACUGAGACACGGUCCAUACUCCUACGGGAGGCAGCAGUGGGGAAUUUUGGACAAUGGGCGAAAGCCUGAUCCAGCCAUUCCGCGUGCAGGAUGAAGGCCCUCGGGUUGUAAACUGCUUUUGUACAGAACGAAAAGGUUUCUACUAAUACUAGGAGCUCAUGACGGUACUGUAAGAAUAAGCACCGGCUAACUAGGUGCCAGCCGCCGCAGUAA